GGAAGAGUGUCCGAGCGGCUUAAGGAGCACGCUUGGAAAGCGUGUGUGCGGGAAACCGUACCGUGGGUUCGAAUCCCACCUCUUCCG
rnacentral:tRNA from 1 species